UUCAGCGAUGCGGCGGGUUCAAAACUUCUCUUUUAGUCCUUCAUUUUACUUCUAUUUCGUGAAUAAAGACAUAUUAUGGAAGACAGCCUAAAGAUGUUUCUCAAGCAAGUGUAAUUACAAGUAUUGAACUAUGGAUUCAUUCACUUCCAAUACCAUUCCAAUGUCCGAGAAUUAAAAGCAGGACCCAAUCUAGAGAAUAGUGAGACUGGCUGGCCAAAGAUGUUUCUCCUUGUAUGAUGAUAAGUCCUGAGCUAUGGAUGCACUUCACCUAACCGUCUUCCCCAUUCCUAGGAAGGAUCAAUUUACAUGUGAACAAAUGGAGGAUCAGCAUUGAAGAUGAACGCACAAGAGGAGGGAUGAAAACAGUGACUGGCUGAGAUGGUGGCAUCCAAGCUGCGGUGUGGACAACUGUUGAGAGACUAAGGCCAAGCAUCUCUGACUGUUUCAAGAUUAGGGACUUUGAUGUCACUCAGCUGUCCAAGAGAGAUCCGACAAAAUAUUACAGAAGAAAAAGAUGCAGCGGUUUGGUUUGGCAUGGCUAAGUAUCCACCGACACACUGUCAAAAAGGGGGUGGCGACUUAUGUGCCUCCGAGACAUGGAGUUAAAUGUCAGCUUGUUGAGUGAUAAAUUCAGCAGUCAGUUUGAAAUGAUUUCGUGCCUGUGAUCUAAGGCACAGUGAUACUGCUGCUGAAACAGCAAUGCCAGGCAUUGGACUUGAGAGAGUGAUACCUUGCCACCACAGGAACAAUAUUAAGAACACUUCAAAAUGUAAGAAGCAGAAAUUUCACCAAAAAUCAAUAUUAUCUGGUUACAAAUGUGUUCUAAUUUAAGUUAUUUUUUAGCCAACAUGGUUUCCAAAAAGAUGAGAUGGGUAGACGCAACAUAAAAACAUGGGAGUGUCUGUCUGUACACAGCUGCACAGUUUAAGAAGAGCAGGGCAGAGAACUGCUCCAGGCGAGAAUAUUUCUGUGCCUCCACCUGAUGACCCAGACUGGACAAGAGCAUAGGUGAUCAUGCAAGCAAGGUAUCAUACAAUUGUCCUACCGGAAAACAAGCCAAACACCACUGCCAAGAUUGACUGGGAUCGGCUGACCACACCAGUUUGCAGACACAGAUGACAAUCAGUGGUGUUUUCCAGGGCACCUCAAAAGGAAAACCACUGGUAAUUGAAGCUGGUAGAUCACCGUGACAUCUCUCGUAAACAAGCUGGGUUAUGGACAAGGAUCACAUCAACCAAGUUCAAAUGUCUUGAACACGAUAGGGCCCCUUCCAUACUGACUGGAAAAGACAUCUGUCAUCUUUGCUUUGGUUCACCAGUUAUACAGAAUAUGCAGGACAUUGUGAACACCGAGAAUAUCACGAAGAACUGAGUGGUGCCGAAAAUACCUGAAGAUUUACUUUUUCAGCUAAGAAUGACUUUGUAGGCCUAAAGGUUUAGAAGUUAUACCUAAAUUCCUCAGGACUAUCGACUUACUCCUAAGGUAGUCUGGAAAACAUUUCAUCUUGGAUGCAGAGAAAGAGUGUACAGUAGAACCUCUCUAUUAAGGACACCCUCGGGACUGACAAGUGCUGUCCUUAAUAAAGAGAUGUCCUGAUUAGAGAGGUCAAAUGAAAUGGAAACAACCAAUUUGGGACCAAAACAAGUGUUUUCCUUAGUAGAGAGGUGUCUCCUAAGGGAGGUUCUACUGUAGUUACAUUACUUAUUAGUUAGUUUUAGUGUUAGUUUUCACUGUUGAAGGAUACAGACACAGAUGUGAAUCGGCAGUGAAGGUGACCUUUUCAAGUGAGGAACCAACGUCUUGGUAUUGCAGCCACUGUAGCUUAGGUAGUAUAGUGACCUACAUGAAGUUGUUUUCAGUUAUGGAAGUCCAUGGGGUUAGUUGCAUUUAACCUUGACUCUGUAGGACUGGGUCCAUUGAAUGUAACAAAAAUAAUCGAUGCCUAUUUACAAAUGAAAUGAAGAGUCUGCAUUUUGGUGCAACUCCAU